CGGUGAUCUUUGCCGGUCCUCGAUCGAUAGGAAUCCACCAAUCGACCUUGCUGCAACUCCUCGCAGCGUCAACGCCUCAACUCCUCAAAGCGUCCACCGAAUCCUCGGCUUCGCGCGAGAUCCUCGCGCCGAACCUCCUUCCGGAGCUUGUAGAAUUGAAGAUUUGCGGUGAUUUAUCUUUUGAAAACCAUAAGCUAUGAGGAUUCACCUUUAAUCAAUCAUCUACUUGAUUCUUGUAAGAAAUAUUGAGUAAAAACGAAGAAACAAGCCGAUGUUGAUUGCUAGAAACUCAUCAUGUAAAUCGAAGCGAAGAAAACGAGUUUCUAGGGUUUAGAAUUGGUAAAAUAUUCAAAGCCUUAAUUUUAGAUGACCCACAUAGCUUAUUUAUAUGUUUAGAAGACUUAGAAGUAGACUAGGAUUGCAAAAAGUCGAUUUCAAAAACCUGUGUCGUCCUCAGAGACCGGUCCUGUCGAGGAGACCGGUCUGUGAGAGACCGGUCUCUCAAGUGAGGAACCGGUCCCUCCCUGCGUGACCAAAAACCCCACGUUCGGGAACCGGUCUCUCAAACUUGAGACCGGUCCCUCGCUGCGUGACAGAACCACCAAGGUUCGGGAACCGGUCUCUCAUCACAGGGGACCGGUUGCAUCAGGAAUUACGCAGUGAGGACCUUGGGGGAACCGGUCUCUCCAUUUCAGAGACCGGUCCCAGAACACAAGAAAGUUCAGUAAAUAUGUUUAAAAACAAUCUAAGCCUUCUGAACUUAUUUUAAUCACGUAACUUCACCACAAAUGAUUUUUUCUACAUACCUUAGGUGUCGAUCUUUCUGAAUAAGUCUUUGUCCUCUAAUUUGAAUCUUUUCUCGAAAUCUUCUGCGAUCAACUCUUCAAGACUCCAAACAACUUUACGAAAUUCGCCAACCUAUAAAAUCCUUAACAUCCGACUCGACCCACAAAACUUGCCAACACAUAGGACCUAACAGGAACCAUGAUUCCUAUUAUGAAAAUGAAUAUUGCUUUCAUGCAUUUAACCUUUAUGCCCAAUUGUGACAUUAGAGACUUUGGAAGCCUAGUGAGGCUUGGAGACUUAGACUGUUGAGAAUUUGGGCCAAUGUCAUAAAGAGGCAUUGGGCUCCGACCAUAGUGAGUAUUGAUGUUAAUGUCUUAAAUCGGAACUUAGAACGUGAUUUGGGCUUGAUUAGUGGUGGUGCUUAAGUGUCAUAAAGAGGUACUAAGCAAGUAAGUGUUGGGUUAUCACAUUGUGACCUAGAGCUAGACCGUUGGGUUACUAGUAGCUAUUGCCAUGUUUGAGACAUGAGGGUUGGAUACUUGAGUCUUUGACUACGCUUGCUUGCCAUUUGUGCUAUUCGCACAUGCUUGUGAGGGUCGCUCCCUACAAGCCGGCACUUCGGAGUUAGCCUAUGCGACUUAUGUUCUCUCGUGCGGUAUUGAGAAGCCUACGGGGUCGAGUGGGACAGACACAUUCCAAGAGUAGGGAUGUUGGGCUACCACAGGCACUUAGGCGGCACAAGCCGGACUACCUUUGGUAGGUCCUUAAUUGGAAAUGGAAAUCGACACAGUGUUGAGUGCGUUAUAAUCACUACUAGAUAGAGAGUAGUAGUUGGAUUACUUGGAUUUGCUUCUAGCAUAGUGUUGGACACUUGAGUAUAAAUACAUACAUGUAGCAUGCUAGGAGAGGUUGUUUAUUGCAUUCCUGUAAACAUUGUUUACCAUAGUAAAGUAUGAGCUUCAUAGUUUCAUAAAACAAAUCAUGAUUGUUACUUGUGGUCAUGUAGGGAUAUGUGUUCAUUGUGAAAUAAGGUUCAUCUUAAUUGAGACAAUGUAGUAUCUUAGCAUUUUAAUUAUACUUUCUUAAAUGCAAUUUAUUCAUUAUUAUUGCUCUUUUGACUUACCCUUUCUUUGGGGCCUAGUGGUGCAUUUAGCUGAGGUCAGUAAUUGCCCACUGGGAACUAUAAAUUAUAGUUCUCACGCCCUCUGUUUUAUAUUUCCUUUCAGAGCCUUCCACGCCGGGAGAGGCUAGGGACCGUGGGAAGGGCGUUGCUUCGAGCUAGCUCUUCAGCGAGUGACGAGUUCUAGGUGGUCUACCUCUCGAUGUAUUUUAUUUUGGAGAGGUUGAGAGCUGUACCAGUGUACUAGAGACACCCUUUUGUGUACUUUUUGGGACAGAUAUUGUAUCACUUUGUAUUUCACUCUUAUUGCUUCAGUAUUGUCCUUUUACCUUGUUGUAGAUGAUAGAAUCAUACUGCUCUGAUAUCAUUAGUUGUUGCUCUUUCCUUUCGGCUAUGUUUCUUGCUUUACUUUCGCUUUUAUUGUAGACGCCUUAUAUGUGCAGACAUAUGGCGGGUCUGGGCGCGCUUUCGGGAGGGCCUCCGCCGUUCCCGGGGCGUGACAACUGCUUUGAGAUAUAUAUCUAUCUAUCUAUCUACUUGUUGUUGCUUGUGCCCACUUGGACCUAGUGGGGAGGUCGGCAGAGUCGGCGGCCGAGCCCACUGGAAACUAUGGAAGAUAGUUCUCACCCCACUCUAUUUCCAGUGGUAGGUACAGGACUGUCGAGAGAGGACCGCGGCAAGGGCAUCGCGCCCGAUCAGUGAGACCGUGGUAGUGUAGUAGCUUUCCUUUUACAUUAGUACACCUAUGUAUUGAGAGAGAUUCAUUGUAGGUGAGGAUUUGGAGAGCUAUGUAUUUUGGAUGAAUUAUGUAAGCAUUUAAAGAAAAUGAUGUAAAUGAAAAUGAUGCAAAACUAUUGUAAUAGUUAGUAAAGUACUCUCUUUAUUUCACAUAUUUUUUCUUGUGGAUUACUUGCUCUUUGUAUUAUUGGCACUGUUUGUGUCCUUGUGAAUGUGCAUGUUUAGAAUAUAAUUUCCUGGGUAAAUUCUUGUGCACAUUCCUGUUGUUGAGCCUCGAGCGGACCGGGAAGUGCUGUCCGUUCGGCAGUCCGCCGCCGCGGCCGAAUCGUGCCAAAUGGGUAGUGGUUUCGGGGCGGGGCGUGACAGUCCUUGUGGUAUCAGAGCAAUGAGAGCAAGUGAAGAGAGAAAGUCUAGGAUGACCUAGGAGACUCUAGGUUGGUAAGCCCUAAGGUUAUAGGUGCGUGAGCGGAACGUGAACCUAUGGCGAUGGCGGAAGUGGAUUCGAUUGGGUCGAAGUUGGUAAUAUGUCUCUAGUUGUGAUUGGAGACGAAUUCAAGUGGUAUGAGCUCUUGUCUUGAGGUGGUUGUGUCGGCGGCCGACGACAUGAUACCAAGAGUCUAGAAUGAGUACACUUGUGUGGUUCCGCCCGAUUUUGUUGUUGAGUCGUCAUGUGUCGUAAUUUCGACGAGGUAAUUGGUUGAGAUGACUGACAAAGUAAUUGCGUUUCAGGGACUAAUAUCUCCAAGACGCUACACAUGUAGAUCUGCUCCAGCACCGAUUCCUGAGGUGCUCGAGCAGACGGAGCCGAGAAUGAUGGAUCGGCUGCAGGCGCAAGUGACUGCGUUGACCAAUGUGGUGCAGCGCCAGGAGACCCGAUUUGAGCGGCUCCAGGAGCUUCUAGAGCGGCAGGUUGCAGCAGCGGCUGCGACGGUGGCUGAGGGCGGUGGUCCGCCCGCACCCUCGACCCGUGUACCCGAGGUGGCGGAGGGUGAGGGUAUAGCGGCGGUUCCAGUGACGGCACGUGUCAGGCCCCGGGACACAGCGGAAGCCCGCCCGGCACGUGCACAGACCCGCCAUACGUCUAAAACAUAUAAGGCGUCAAAAACAAAACGAUAAAAGAGGCAAUAGAAGAAAACACCUAGAAGUAUCAGAGCAAUAUACAUUAUCUAGAGACUAAAGCAAUGAGAAGAGUAGAGAGCUAAAAUCACUAAUAAACCAUAAAGUAGUACAACCCAAGAUCCAAAUAUGAGUGCUAAAGGAGUACAUUGGUGGUCUCUAUACAUGGUAAACAAAAUCUCUCGCUCUCCCUAAAUAUAAAAAGAAAGGAAACCACCUAAGAGUAAAAGUGACUCCUCGCUAUCUAGCUAGCGAUCCCCUUGCCGCGGUCCCGUGCCUCCGCCGGUGCAGAGGGCUCUGAAAGGAAAACAUAAAACAGAGAGCGUGAGAACUAUUAAAUAAUAGUUCCCAGUGGGCAAUUACUGACUUCAGUGAAAUGCACCACUAGGCCCAAAACUAAGCAAGUAAGGUAAGUAAGGCAAGUAAGAAUAAUAUGAACAAAUAACUCGCUGACAUGGAAGCUCAAUAUAGCAUGAAGUCACUACUUUCAUCAAUAAUAAUCUACCACAUGAUCUCUACUUAGCAUGGAUUUGCAUAAGUAAUAAAGCAACUACUACAAGCAUGUGUACAAGAGUAUCCAACAUGUAAAUGCAUAAGUAUGCAACUAACCCAAUGUCCACAAUGUAAAUAGUAAAGAUGUCAUUGUUUACUAUUCUAGUCAAUGUCCAAAAGGUACAAUAUGUCACCAGUAACCCAAUCCUGUGGAAGCUACCCGUAGGUAGUCCGGCCUGCGCUGUGCCAACAAUGGCCCCGUGGUAGUCAACAUCCCCACUCUAGGAAUGAGCCUCCCCCACGGCAUUCCAUUUUGGCGCCCAAUUCCGCACGGGCGACCAUAUGUCGCGAUGGCUAUCUCCGGAGUGCCGACUGGUAGGGAGCGACCUUCACAAGUAUGUGCGAAUGAGCACAAUGGCAUGCAAGCGAAUAAGUCCGUCUAAGGUCCCAGUGGUUCAUCACUGUUUCAUCGGAUCUAAAAUUCGGAAUACAGCAUAUGUCCCAAAGGCCUGCCUCUAUAUCAUCGUGUCUAAAACAUGGAAUAUAGUAACUGUCACAAUGGCCUAUCUCUAUGUCAUCAUGUCUAAAACAUGGAAUAUAGCAGAUUUCCAGUGGCCUAUCAUCAUGUCUCUAAGUUGUAGUUCAACGAUUUUCUAGUUCAAGCGCCCCUUUAUGACACUUUUGCUUACUAGGUUCCAAUAUGAAUAAUAACUCUAAAAGCUUGUCAUUCUAAUCAUUUUUCACACAAGAAACAUGAUCUUACAUCAUUCAUUAGAACAUCAAACUCAUGCACACUAACAAUGCAUAUGCUACUCUCUACAACAUACAGUCAAUUUUUCAUGAUGCGUAACAUAGGGGUUUUAAGCACUCUAAAAUUCACAUAAAUUUCAUUUAACAUGAAUAUGCAUGUAUUUAUAGUAUACGAAAACAUUUAACCACAUAGGAGGCAUUUCCUCCCAUUUCAAUGAAGCCAAACCCACCGACGACAACGGAACCCUUCGUUUGCUGCGACGAGGGUAUCCACCACUCUCCUAGUACCCUAAAGGUAUGGAAACAAGUGUCACAAGAACCUUACGAACAACACUUAGCUCAAACAUUAAGCUUUUUAAGCUAAGGUGGGGAAAACUCACCGAAUGUUAAGAAAUCUCCCACGAAUGCCAAAAGGGAGCUAGAGGCCUUCAAAUCCCACCUAAAACAAAGUUCUAAACCAAUCAAUUUGGUUCUAGAAGCUACAAAUCAAAAAUCCCCCAAUUCUAACCCUAGAAUCCAAAAUCUAGGGUUUCCGCUAGCAAAAUCCAUCAAAUCACUAUCAAAAGGGAAAUACAUGAUACCAACCUCUCAAGAAGCUCCAAAACAAGCUCAAAGUCCUCAAGGGUUGAAGUUUGAUCCUCAAUCAAGCUCCACUCCAACUCUCCAAGCUUCUCCAAUGGUGGUAGACCAACAAAAGGCAAGAAGGAGAAGAAAAGAGAGAUCAAAACUAGCUCAAAUCCCUCAAAAAUGAAAAAGAAACCAUGGGGGGAAGAGCUCACCUUAUCUCCUCUGGUCUAGGGCUCAAAAGAGCAGCCAUGGGGGCUGGGGUGACUUUUAUAGAGGUUGCAAUAAUUGCAAAAACACCACUCCACGAAACAGCCCAAACUGCACUGCGUACCGGUACACAAGUUUGUGUACCGGUACACAUCCCACGAACCAGCCCAACCCGAGCCUCGAGUUGGCGCACUGACUGCAAGGGCCGAUGGCUGUACCGGUACAGCCAUCACCGCGUACCGGUACACAGCCCUGCAGCAAGCUACCCGAGAGCUGACCAAAAAUCUGACUUUUCGAAUUUUGGUGCUAGCUUUUAAACCUCCAAUAUCGGGGUUCGAACCAUGGGUCGAAACACUAUCCACGACCCUCCACAAAGUGUGGAAAAGUUCGGAACACAAAUCAAACACUCAAACCUCACUAUUUGCGACGGUUCGGUGUGUUACAGAGUAAUACAAUAACCGUCUCAAAAAGUACACAAAAGGGGUGGUCUCUAUACAUGGGUACAACUCUCAACCUCUCCAAAAUAAAAACAUCGAGAGGGAGACCACCUAUCAAAAGUCCCUCGUCAAAGCUUGCUAGCCCGAGGCGAUACCCUUUCCUCGGUCCCUGGCAUCCCCCGGCGCGGAAGGCUCUGAAAGAAAACAAGAAACAGGGGGCGUGAGAACUAUAAUUUAUAGGUCCCAGUAGACAAUUACUGACGUCAGCACAUUGGGCCACUAGGCCAAAAAGAAUAGGGUAGAUAUGAUAAACAACUGGAAUUAAACUGCAGAUAUGAAGGCAUGUAUAGAACGCUAAAAUAAACUACUAUGUUAUAAGCAAUAUGAUGGCAAUGUGUAGUACAGGGGUUCUAUCAGGCUCAAAUAUGUCCAGUACAAAACUAGUAUGAUUCUACAUGGCAAACAAUUAUACUAAAGUGCAAAGAGCGUUAUAAUCAAGUAUACUACAAGUCCAAACCUAUGCUAUAAGCAUGUCCAAGAAACUUAACUACUAUAAUCUAUUUAGUAGUAAUUUUACUUAUGCGAUUCCGUGUCAGUUUCCAUUUCCCAUUAAGGACCUACCGAAGGUAGUCCGGCUUGUGCCGCCUAAGUGCCUGUGGUAGCCCAACAUUCCCACUCGACGAAUGAGUCUAUCCCACCCGGCCCCGUAGGCUUCUCAAUACCGCACGAGCGAACAUAAGUCGCGAAGGCCAACUCCGGAGUGCCGGCUUGUAGGGCGCGACCCUCACAAGCAUGUGCGAAUGAGCAAAAAUGGCAAGGAAGCGUAGUCAUCGUCUCAAAUAUCCGAUUAUCAUGUCUCUAACAUGGUAACAGUCUUUAGCAACCCAUCGGUCUAGUCCAAUGUCCAACGUGAAGGUUUAACUGUUUAUUAUGUCCAAUGCCCCUUCAUGGCAUUACAACUCACUAUGCCCAAAUCUCGUUCCAACACUAAUGCCACUUCAUGACAUUAGGUUUACUAAGUCCACACAUAUUCCAAGCCUAAUGCCCCUUUAUGACGUUGGCUUAAUAAUUCACAAACCACCCUAGUCUAAUGCUCCUUUUUGACAUUAUCUACUAGGUUCACAUAUAACCCAAGCUCAAUGUCUCUUUAUGACAUUAGCUUACUAAUUCACAUGAUUUUCAAGUCCCAAGCCACUUCAUGGCCUAAUGUAUCCUCACAUGUCCAAGGGUAUAUAUAAUCAUUGUCAUUUCACUAUAUGAAAUAUGAUUCUAAGUCCCGAAUACGAAUGCUGAACUCAUGCAUAAGUCUCACAUGCGAGUUCUCUACUACUUAAAGAUCCAAAAACGCAUUGUAUACAACAUAAGCAUUUUAAACAUUUUAAAAUUCAUAAAUAAUACAUCUAACAUGAAAAUGCAUGAUUUUCCAUUUUACGAUACUUAAAUCCACAAAAAUGAGAUUUUCUCAUUCUUAGAUGAGGUCAAACCUACCGAGCACCGCUAAAACUCUUUCGUUUCGCCGAACGGAGUUGCCCACAAUUCUCCUAGCAGUCGAUCACACAGGCUCGAAGCAUGUCCUCAAGAGUCUGUAUAGUGCGCUCUGACUACCCGUCACUCUGAGGGUGGAAAGCUGUACUAAAAUCCAAGCGCGUUCCCAAGGCAUCUUGUAAGCUCAUCCAAAAAUGAGAUACAAAACUGGGAUCUCGAUCCAAAACUAUAGAAGUAGGUACCCCGUGCAGUCGCACAAUCUCAUCAAGAUAUACCUGUGUGAGUCUCUCACUAGUCCAAGUAGUGUGGAUAGGUAUGAAAUGAGCCGAUUUCGUCAACCUAUCCACGAUCACCCAAAUAGCAUCAUGCCCGGCUUGUGAGCAAGGCAAUCCCAUCACAAAGUCCAUAGUGAUCUUCUCCCACUUCCACACCCGAAUCGGUAAACUCUGCAAUUUUUUCGCGGGAACCAGAUGCUCAGCCUUCACCUGUUGGCAAGUUAAACAUCUAGAAACAAAUUCACCAAUGUCCUUCUUCAUCCCGGGCCACCAAUAAAGCAACUUCAAGUCCUUAUACAUCUUGGUGCCUUCCGGAUGUAUAACAUAAGGUGCACGGUGUGCUUCCUGAAGAAUGUCCUCUUUCAGUGCCGAUUCCGCCGGUACACAAAUCCGCCCGCGGAAACGCAUCAAUCCGAAAUCAUCCACGGUAAAAUCACCGGUGCAACCAUCAACCAAUUUAUCUCUAAUCUUUUGCAAUUCCACAUCGGAAACUUGCUUUGUUUUAAUUCUAUCCAGAAGUGUAGGUUACACUACCAAGGUCAUCAACCUCAAGGGUGUGUCAGGUGUCACCACUUCCAACACCAACUGCUUUAUCUGUUCGAUUAAUUGCGGUUGAUUAACAACAUGCAUCACUAAGUUUUCCGUCGAUUUUCUAUUUAGCGCAUCCGCCACCACGUUAGCCUUGCCCGGGUGGUAAAGAAUCGUCAAAUCAUAAUCCUUGAGGAGCUCCAACCAUCUGCGCUGCCUCAAGUUCAACUCCUUCUGAGUAAAUAAAUACUUUAAGCUCUUGUGAUCCGUAUAUACUUCGCACCGCUCGCCAUAAAGAUAAUGGCGUCAUAGCUUCAAUGCAAAAACUACGGUCGCCAACUCCAAAUCGUGAGUAAGGUAAUUUCUUUCAUAAUCCUUCAAUUGGCGGGAUGCAUACACGAUCACCUUCCCGUCCCGCAUCAAAACGCAACCCAAUCCAUUAAGAGAAGCAUCGCUAUAAAUCACAUACCCUGCUCCAGCAGUCGGCAAGGUAAGGAUCGAGGCAGUCGUCAAUAUUUGCUUCAACUCUUGAAAGCUUCUUUCACACGCAUCAUUCCAAAUGAACUUGGUGCCUUUAUGUGUGAGCCUCGUUAGGGGAGUAGAUAACUUUCAAAUCCCUCAACAAACCGUCGGUAGUAGCCGGCCAAACCAAGAAAGCUCUGAAUCUCCGUGACGCCCGUCAGCCUUGGCCAAUCUUUGAUAGCUUCAAUUUUCCUCAGAUCCACAGCUAUACCCGAUCUAGAAAUCAAAUGGCCCAAAAACGCCACCUCUCUAAGCCAAAACUCAUACUUUUUCAAUUUGGCAUAGAGCUUCCUUUCCUACAGCACUUGAAGUACAAGUCUCAAGUAUUCCUCGUGAUCCACAUCACUUCGGGAAUAGACCAAAAUAUCAUCGAUGAAUACUACGACGAACCUAUCUAGAUAAGGCUUAAAAACACGGUUCAUCAAAUCCAUAAAAGCUGCCGGGGCAUUAGUAAGCCCAAACGGCAUAACUGUAAACUCAUAAUGUUCAUACUGUGUUCUGAAAGCCGUCUUCGACAUAUCCUCAGGCUGGAUCAUUAACUGGUGAUAUCCCGACUGUAAGUCGAUCUUGGAAUAUACACUAGAUCCCUGGAGUUGAUCGAAUAGAUCAUCAAUCCUCGGUAAUGGAUACUUGUUCUUAAUCGUGACUUUAUUAAGUUCACGAUAGUCCAUGCACAAGCGAAGCGAUCCAUCCUUCUUCUUAACAAAUAGGACCGGCGCUCCCCAAGGUGACACACUCGGUCGCACAAAGCCCUUGUCCAAAAGAUCUUGUAACUGUGCCUUCAGCUCCUUCAACUCAGCUGGUGCCAUCCUAUAGGGAGCUUUUGAGAUUGGAGUAGCCCCGGGGACGAGAUCUAUUACAAACUCAAUUUCCCUAUCAGGUGGAAUGCCUGGUAACUCUGCUGGAAACACAUCUCCAAACUCCCGUACUACGGGGAUAUCCUCAAUCCUAGGGGCGCCGACGUCACCCCUCAACACCACAAUAGCCAAAUAGGCUACACAGCCUCUGCUAAUCAACUGCCUAACUCGAGAGGAGCUAAUCGUCAUCGCAAACAGCGAACUCUGGCAUCCAUGAUACACAACCUCCGCCUGCCCCGGCUCUCUAAAAGUCACCGUUCGAUUCUUGCAAUCGAUAGUGGCGAAGUACUUGGUCAACCAAUCGAUGCCCAUCACAAUAUCAAACUCUCCGAGUUUAUGCAAAGCUAGCAAAUCCACAGGCAUGAUCCAAUCUCCAACCCAAAUAGGGCAAUUGGGGCAACACUCCUUAAUGUCCAAGGAGUGGUCGGGGACGACGACCCGUCCCGGAUGCAACAAAGAGACAAGUGGGAUGCCAUGCAACUCGGCAAAUAGCCGGUCUAUGAAUGAAUGCGAUGCAACGGUAUCAAAUAAUGCUCGUACUCGAAUACCAUAAAGUAAAAUGAUACCUGCGACCACAUUCUCGGCUGCUGCCGCCUCCUUAGUCUAGGCAGCGUACAUGCGCCCGCUAGGGGCCUACCGUGACCCCUCCGUCUGCCGCUGAACUGGUGGUCGCCCGGCCUGGUGAUGCGCAGAAAGUGUCCCCUGGCUGGGACCCAGUGAAGCUGGUGCAGAUGACGACGAUGGCGCUAGAACUGAAACCCUCGGGCAGUCCGACUGGAAGUGGCCCUCCUGGCCACACGAAAAGCACCUGCCCCGACUGCGUGUACACUGUCGUGAANGCUCCUACGUCGAGAACGAGCUGAAAUACUAACAGUCGACGGUGGAUUUCAGCAAACAACAAUUUACCGAGUCGAAGCAGUAAAAACUUGCCCAAAAUCCAGGGAAAUGCUGAAAUACUCACCUCGACAACACCGGGCACCGCUGCGACAGAAAAACGGCGAAAACCUCCGCUCGCCCGGCCUGCUCGUAGCAACACGACGACGGAAGUAUGCCCGAACGGCUCUGCGGCGCGACGUCGGCGACGAAUCCGAGCUUCCUCUUGCCUUCAACCGGAUGGGAGAGUGAGAGAGAUGGAGAAUUGCAGCAAGAAGGCCUCUCUCUCUCUCCUUACACGGAACUAUAUAGAGGGGAGUGAAAGAGAUACAAACGAGGCAAGGUAAAAAUACUAAAAAGCCCCUCACCUACUCUGGUGUACCGGUACACGGGAUCGCGUACCGGUACAGGAAGCUAACCCGAGAGCAGUACGCGCUCAGCCAGUAUAGCGUACCGGUACACCUCGCUGGCUAUACCGGUACAGCCAGCAGGAAAAUCUGCUAUUUCGCAGAUUUCUUCGCUGAAGGCUGCUCUCGCGUCCGACGGAGUCCGUUUUGCGUCUAUUUGAUGCCAACGCGACUCGGGCUUGUCCCGACACUCUCCAGAGCUGUCGACAAGCCCCCACAGCCAGACACCAGGGAUCUCACAGUAUAGGGGGCCGAGAAUUCAUGUUUUAUACCGUUUGAAACACAGAAAUCAACAAAUUUAGAAUUUAUGAAUUCUCCCCCUUGAUCGCUUCGAAUGCGUAUAAUUUUAUCAUUUCGUUCAGUCAUAAGACGGAGACAGAUUUCAGAAAAAGAAUUAAAAGUAUCAGCUUUUUCUCGUAAGAAAGCACUCCAUACAUAGCGAGUAAAAUCAUCAACAAUAAGCAGAAUAUAACGUUUUCCACCCAAACUUUGAAUCCUAGAUGGUCCCAUCAAGUCCAUGUGAAGUAACUCUAGAGGUUUAGUUGUCCCUAAGUGGUUCAAGUUCUUAUGUGUGGAUCUAGUUUGUUUCCCUAAUUGGCAACCCCCACACACAGUGUUCUCUUUAUAGUCAAUCUUAGGUACACCUCUAACUACCUCCUUCUUGGUGAUCUUAGAUAGCUCCUUAAAAUUGAUGUGACCUAGUCGUUCAUGCCAUAAAGUUUCAGUUUCUAAUGACGCUAGGUUACAAUGUUCAGUGGCCGAACUAGGAACUACAUAACAAUUAUUCUGAGAUCUAAUGCCCUUUAAGAAUAAAUUGUCAUCACGAGUCACAUGGCAUUCUUUAUCAGAAAAGUUCACCGAAUACCCAUCAUCACACAAUUGACUUAUGCUUACGAGAUUAGAUUUAAGCCCUUCAACAUAAAAAACAUCAUUCAACGUAGGACCGUCUGAGAUAGUCACUGUUCCUUUUCCAACGAUUUUUGACGAUCGACCGUCUCCAAAAACAACAAGUCCUCCGGAGAUUUUGGUCAAAGAAGUAAACCAAUUUUUAUCUCCGGUCAUGUGACGGGAACAGCCACUAUCCAGAUACCAAGAUGAGUUAUCGUAAGCAUGAAGUGAAGUGUGAAUGACUAGGCAUGGGAAGAGUUCACCUUUGCGCACCCAAACCUUACGUGUUUUGGGUUGUGUCCGUUCGCUUGCUUUUGUUGAUCGUGGCUUGUCGACGAUUUGAAUUGACUUCCCCUUCAUGUCCUCCUUCUUUGGUUUCCAUGCUUGUUUUGCCUUUGGCUUUGGAAUAUUUGGUGUCCGAAUUUGGCUCUUCUUUUGUUCUAUUUUCUUUGGAGUCACAAUUGACUUCAAUGUCGUUCUAGGGUCACUCUUCAAGAGAGCUAUUGAGCUCUUUCCCUUUUGAAAGCAGACUUUCUUUAUGUGUCCUAAAACACCACAAAUAUGACAAGUUUUGUUAGUCAAAUUGUGUUUAGGAGAGACAAACUUACCAUAAAGUUUAGGUACAGCAGUCGACGAGUUUCCAUCAUCCUUCUUCAUAACUUGAUCAAUAUAUGUCCGUUCAUAACCAAGUCCAAGUUUAUUGGUUUGACCAAGUCCAAGCAUCUUGUCUAGUUUGCUCGAGCCAGAUGAAAAUUGGUUCAAAUCUGACUUCAGUUGAAUGAUCGUCUUGGUGAAUUCCAUAUUUGCUUCUCUAGCUUCUGAGUUUUGCUUGGUAAGAAAAUUGAUGUUCUCCGCUUGAGUCUCCUUUUCUUUUUCAAGUAACGAACACUUCUCAAGCAAAGAAUUGUAAGCCUUGGUCAACCCAUCUCUCUCUUGUUCUAAAUCCUUUGUUAGAGAGACCAACUUUGAAUUUUCUUGUUCCAACUCAUGUAGACUACGCCGAAGUCUCUUGUUGUGUUUAGCCAUCUUCUUUGAUUCAACAACUAAUUGUUGAUAUGCUGCGACCAUGUCAUCUUCGUCUGAGUCUUCAUCCGAUGAGUUCUCCGAAGAUGACUUCUCUUGUAUAGAUGUCGUAGAAAUCGAGUCAGUAGAUGCUAGACACAUGAACGUUGAAUCCUGUGCAAACAGUGCCGUGGCAUUUACAUCCUCUUCGCUUGAAGUAGAAUCGUCAGAUGAGGAGUCGUCCCAAGUCAUAGCUUGCAUAGCUUUCUUCUUCAACGUCUUUUUAUUAGGACAGUCAGACGCUAUAUGGCCAAAGCCCCUACACUUGUAGCAUUGGAUUUGACCUUCACCGCUUUUCCUCUCUUUUGUGGAGUCCUUUUGAGAGUUAUCAGAUUUUCUGUAUUUUGACGAAGAAGAAGAAGACGGACCCCCUUUAGAUUUGUUUGUCUUUGAUGAAGUAGACUUGGGAGGAAACUUCUUUCUAAAGUUCCGACGGAACUUCUUUGUUAGAAGUGCGAGUUGUUUCUCAAAGUCCUCCAAGCUUUGCUCCGACUCUGAAUCUGAUGAGGUUGACGAGAUAUCUCCUUUUGUUGAUUUUAGAGCCAUGCCUGAGGCUUUAGAAAAAGACUUGGAAGAAGACGAAUUAGAAGGAAAAGUCAUUUCAUACGUUUGAAGAGCACCAACUAAUUCAUCUACUUUGAGUUCAUCCGGAUGUUUUACCGUUUUAAUGGCCGCAACCUUGGGACAAAAACGUUCGGGAAGAGUUCUCAAAAUUUUUCGAACGAUUUUUGGUUCAGAAAUUUUUUCACCCAAAUUUGCACAAGUAUUAACAAUAUCUUGAAGACGAGUGUAAUACUCGGUAAAGGUUUCAUUUUCUUCCAUACGAAUAGAAUCAAAACGACUAGUCAACAUUUGUAAUUUCUGAACCUUUACCAAGCUUGUACCCUCGUGAGUGAUUUAUAAGGUGUCCCAAAUUUCUUUGGCGGUUUCACAUGCCGAUACUCGUGAAAAUUCACUUUGAUUCAACGCAUUGAACAAAGCAUUGAUACCCUUCCCAUUGAACGAAGAUAGUUCAUUUUCGUCUUUUGUCCACUUAUUUCUAGGUUUCGGACCGGUAACAUUCUCGACCACUUCAGUAGGAUGUUUCCAUCCGAAUUCAACGGCUUGCCAAACCCUCUCGUCGAUAGCAAUAAGAAACGCCCUCAUACGGACUUUCCAAUACGCGUAGUUAGUGCCAUCGAAGAGAGGGGGUCGAUUAACGUUGCCGCCCUCGGCCAUAGAUUACAACCUAUACCCGCUCUGAUACCACUUGUAAGAUAUGAAUCCCUAGGAUCUAAAAGGUAAAAGACACCUAGAGGGGGGUGAAUAGGUGUAAACGGCAACAAUCUCGAAACUCGAUGCAAAUUUAAAAUAGAAUGCGGAAAAAUAAAAUCAGCACACCGAGAAUUAACGUGGGAAAACUCCAAACCGGAGAGAAAAACCCACGGGACCAACCACACAAAGAAAUCCACUAAGAAAACAUGAGUACAAGUGAUUUAUCAAAAAUACAAGACUCGAAAUACCGAAUUCUCGUUGUAGAAUAUCUUUGCCAGUCCUCGAUCGCUUGAAAUCCUCCAACCGAUCACACUGCAACCUAGCAGCGUCAACUGCUCAUCCCUCGAAGCGUCCACCGAAUCGCUCGCUUCACCGAGAUGCAGUGCCGACCUCCUCCGGCUUGUAGAAUUGAAGAUUUGUGGUGAUUUAACUUUUGAAAAUAAGGCUAUGAGAGGUUACUUUAAAUAAUACAUACUACUUGAUUUGUAGGAAGUACCGAGUAAAAACGAAGAAUAACGAUGUUGAUUGCUUUGAACUCAUUCAUGGUAAAUGAGAGCAUUGAAAGAGAGAGGAGAGUGUGUUAGGUUUGGAAUUUGGUAAAAUAUUCAAAGCCUCAAUUUGAGACGACGGCCACAUAGCUUAUUGAAUGUUAGAAGACUUAGAAGUAGAAUGGAUGCAAAAGUCGAUUUUAAAAACCUUGUGUCGUCCUCAGAGACGGGUGCGCUGUCGAGGAGACCGGUCUGUCGAGAGAACCGGUCUCUCAAGUGAGGAACGGUCUCCUGCGGUUGAGCCAAAAAACCAACUUCAGGAACGCCGGUCUCUCAAACUUGGACCGAUCCCUCGUCGGCGCACGAAGAUCACCAAGGUUCGGGAACCGGUCUCUCAUCACAGGGGACCGGUUGCAUCAAGGUUUACGCAGUGAGGACCUUGGGAGAACCGGUCUCUCCAUUUCAGAGACCGGUCCCAGAACACAAGAAAGUUCAGAAAAUUUGUUUAAAAACAAUCUAAGCCUUCUGAACUUAUUUUAAUCAUGUAUCUUCACCACAAAUGAUCUUUUCUACAUACCUUAGGUGUCGAUCUUUCCGAAUGAGUCUUUGUCCUCCAAUUUGAAUCUUUUCUCAAAAACUUCUGCGAUCAACUCUUCCAGACUCCAAACAACUUUACGAAAUUCGCCAACCUAUAAAAUCCUUAACAUCUUUUUCUCGAUGUUUUUCAGAGCCUUCCGCGCAUGGGGAGGCCAGGGAUCGCGGAAAGGGUACCGCCUCGGGCUAGCGUGCUCGCCGAGGGAUCGUUCGAUACUCUCAUUUUUUUUUUCUUUUUGUGAGAGGUUGAGAGUUUC
rnacentral:lncRNA from 1 species